rnacentral:rRNA from 1 species
UACGUAGGGCGCAAGCGUUGUCCGGAAUACUGGGCGUAAAGCGUGCGCAGGCGGUUGUGCAAGACAGAUGUGAAAUCCCCCGGGCUUAACCUGGGAACUGCAUUUGUGACUGCACGGCUAGAGUGUGUCAGAGGGGUAGAAUUCCAGGUGUAGCGGUGAAAUGCGUAGAUAUCUGGAGGAACACCGGUGGCGAAGGCGGCAUUCUGGACCAACACUGACGCUGAGGAGCGAAAGUGUGGGAGCGAACAGG